rnacentral:rRNA from 1 species
CCGUGAUGAACUAACCGUCUGUCGCUGGGGAGGAGUUCCGAUAGGGCCAAAACGCGCAACCCAUUUGUUUCUCGUUUCAAAGCAAAAGCAAGACAAAUGAGAAAAUAGGUGAUACUAAUAGCACUUAGAUUUAUUAACAUUUGUUUUUACUAUUUGAAUACAUAAAAAAAUAACAAAAUAAAGCUCAAUAUGACCUAGUGACCGGUAACGAGUUUUCUGGAGGCUAGCUACUUUUUUUAUAUUAAAAACAUAAAUCUAAACAGUUUCACGAUUAUUAUUUUUAUAAUGUUUAUUAUACUUAUAUCAGUUUACUCUUUAUAAGCAUUUUGAACUUUUUUUUUAUUGUAUUUACUAUUAACAGUUUAGUUAAGGAUUAGUAGUUUCGAUGAACCCUUCUGAGUAACUAAUCUUAAAAGUCAUAGCAAGGUAGCUUGUACUGGAA